rnacentral:rRNA from 1 species
UACGGAGGGUGCAAGCGUUAAUCGGAAUUACUGGGCGUAAAGGGUGCGUAGGUGGUUUGGUAAGUUAGCUGUGAAAUUCCUGGGCUCAACCUGGGGGGGUCAGCUAAAACUGCGAGACUAGAGUGUAGGAGAGGGUAGUGGAAUUUCCGGUGUAGCGGUGAAAUGCGUAGAGAUCGGAAGGAACACCAGUGGCGAAGGCGGCUACCUGGCCUAACACUGACACUGAGGCACGAAAGCGUGGGGAGCAAAC